rnacentral:rRNA from 1 species
GAUGAAACGCUAGCGACAGGCUUAACACAUGCAAGUCGAGGGGCAGCGGAGAGGAAAGCUUGCUUUUUCUCUGCCCGGCGACCGGCGCACGGGUGAGUAAACACGUAUGCAACCUACCCCUGGCAGGGGGAUAACCCGGAGAAAUCCGGACUAAUACCGCGUAACACCGCGGGGAGACAUCUCCCGGCGGUCAAAGGAAGCGAUUCCGGCCAGGGAUGGGCAUGCGGCGCAUUAGGCAGUUGGCGGGGUAACGGCCCACCAAAACCGACGAUGCGUAGGGGUUCUGAGAGGAAGGUCCCCCACACUGGUACUGAGACACGGACCAGACUCCUACGGGAGGCAGCAGUGAGGAAUAUUGGUCAAUGGGCGCAAGCCUGAACCAGCCAAAAGUCGCGUGAGGGAAGAACGGUCCUAAUGGAAUUGUAAAACCUCUUUUGUCA